rnacentral:rRNA from 1 species
UACGAAAGGGGCUAGCGUUGUUCGGAAUUACUGGGCGUAAAGCGCAUGUAGGCGGCUUGCCAAGUUAGGGGUGAAAUCCCGGAGCUCAACUCCGGAACUGCCUCUAAAACUGGUAUGGCUAGAGGAUGUGAGAGGAUAGUGGAAUUCCGAGUGUAGAGGUGAAAUUCGUAGAUAUUCGGAAGAACACCAGUGGCGAAGGCGACUGUCUGGCACAUUUCUGACGCUGAGAUGCGAAAGCGUGGGGAGCGAACAGG